rnacentral:rRNA from 1 species
GACGAACGCUGGCGGCGUGCUUAACACAUGCAAGUCGAACGGAAAGGCCCUGCUUUUGUGGGGUGCUCGAGUGGCGAACGGGUGGGUAACACGUGAGUAACCUGCCCUUGACUUUGGGAUAACUUCAGGAAACUGGGGCUAAUACCGGAUAGGAGCUCCUGCUGCAUGGUGGGGGUUGGAAAGUUUCGGCGGUUGGGGAUGGACUCGCGGCUUAUCAGCUUGUUGGUGGGGUAGUGGCUUACCAAGGCUUUGACGGGUAGCCGGUCUGAGAGGGUGACCGGCCACAUUGGGACUGAGAUACGGCCCAGACUCCUACGGGAGGCAGCAGUGGGGAAUAUUGCACAAUGGGCGGAAGCCUGAUGCAGCAACGCCGCGUGCGGGAUGACGGCCUUCGGGUUGUAAACCGCUUUCGCCUGUGACGAAGCGUGAGUGACGGUAAUGGGUAAAGAAGCACCGGCUAACUACGUG